ensembl:snoRNA
ACCCUUCGUAGUUCAUAAGCAUGAUGAUUGGGUUUUCAUACUCAUGUGUGAGAUGUGUCUCUCAAACUUUGUGAAAAGUCAGCACAUGACCCAUCUGAUG